AACGCGAAGAACCUUACCUGGGCUCGAAAUGUAGUGGAAUCCGGCAGAAANGUCGGCGUCUAGCAAUAGACCGCUAUAUAGGUGCUGCAUGGCUGUCGUCAGCUCGUGUCGUGAGAUGUUGGGUUAAGUCCCGCAACGAGCGCAACCCUUAUCUUCAGUUGCUACCAUUUAGUUGAGCACUCUGACGAAACCGCCUCGGAUAACGGGGAGGAAGGUGGGGAUGACGUCAAGUCCUCAUGGCCUUUAUGUCCAGGGCUACACACGUGCUACAAUGGCCGGUACAAACCGCUGCAUAACCCGGCGAGGGGGAGCUAUAUCGGAAAAAGCCAGGCCUCAGUUCGGAUUGGAGUCUGCAACUCGACUCCAUGAAGCUGGAAUUCGNUAGUAAUUCGUGGAUCAGCAUGCCA
rnacentral:rRNA from 1 species